rnacentral:lncRNA from 1 species
CGCUUUGAUGGGACCAAAGGUUAAUCACUUGGGUCAGCAUUAAACUAUACGACUCUGUGUUAUAAAAGAUAUGUGAGGGAGAUACUCAACCCCUCAUUACAGCCAUAGAAAACACUUAGGUAUCACCCCACACAAUCUGACAGUCUCAGCCAACAGUAUACACCUAGGCAAAAACUCCAAGCAUUGCCCAGUAUGAGCUCCA